GGAGAGUUGGCAGAACGGUAAUGCGCGAGUUUCGAAAACUCGUGCCCGUAAGGGCUAACAGGUUCGACUCCUGUACUCUCCGCCA
rnacentral:tRNA from 3 species